GUGGCAGCCGCCGCGGUAAUACCAGCAGUUCAAGUUGCAUCCCUUUUUAUUGGGUCUAAAACAUCCGUAGCUUGCCGUUUAAGUCUCUUGUGAAAUCCUACGUCUCAAGCGUGGGGCUUGCAGGAGAUACUGAGCGGCUAGAGAUCGGUAGACGUAAGGAGUACGCCGGAGGUAACGGUUAAAUGUGUUAAAUCUUCGGUGGACUAACAAUGAGCGAAGGCACCUUACGAGGACGAAUCUGACAGUGAGGGAUGAAGGCCAGGGGCGCAAAACGGAUUAGAUACCCGUGUAGUCCUGGCAGUAAACACUGCUCACUAAACAUCGGGCCCUCUUCGGGAGGAUUCGGUGCUGAAGCGAAGGCGAAGAGUGAGCUACCUGGGAAGUAUAGUCGCAAGAUCGAAACUCAAAGGAAUUGACGG
rnacentral:rRNA from 1 species